UAGCAUGGGCCCGGAAAAGAAGCAAAGGACCAGAAGACAGAAUGCAGUAGAGUCGUCGACGCCAUCCAUGUUAGUCAAACCCCUGGGUCAUGGAGCCAGAUGAAGAAGGAGGGCAAACAGAAGGAUGGCAGCAUGAACUCAGCUGGGCCCCGUGGUCCUCAGCCCAGCCCUCGGCAGAAGCAGUGAAUUCAGCCAUAACUACAGCAGAGUCUGAUCAUUCUCCUGAUGAAAUUACACUGAUCUAAUUUGCACGCUGUGAAGACAUUUGGCACUGGCUGGAUCUGAGCCUUGACAUCUUCAUUGGAACUAAAAGUACACUAAGAACUGACAUUACGUUUCACAUUCUUUUCUGCCAGGCUGUGGCAUUUCAUCCUCUUUAAAGGCAUUAUUUCAAGAACAUUUAAUUUGGCUUUGAUAUGCCUGCCAUUUUGCUGGGUGGAACAUACUGCGCCAGAAAAGCUCAGCUGUAAUAAAGUUUGGCACCAACAGCUCACCAUAUACCUGCACCAUCCUGUGCAAUUUAAUUGGCAUUCAGUGGGUUGAUAAAUGGAUUGGCUUAAUGAGACAAUAUACUUGACAUAUGCAGAACUCUCCUGAGGAAUAGGAUUCAUUUUUUCACUUCACACAUCAACAUGUUACAGAUACCAACACAGUCACCUCCAGCAGUUGCACUGUAGCCAAUGGACGCCUUCCAUUGUGUUGACCAGUAAUAUUACCUUCCAGCUAUCUCACUCCUUCCUCUUUUAGCACAAAAGUAUGUUUUAAAUUUCAUUGUCUUUUAUAUUUUCUCAGAUAUAAGGCAUAAGAUAGGCUCCAUGUUUAAUUUACAUAAAUCUGUAUUAUCUCAGCAGAUCAUACAGCUUUUUUUGGUGUCUAAACAGAUUAGUUUUACCUACUGUAAAAUGACAUAACUAUAAAAUACAUGUAAUAAUGAAUUCUAGGUAUAACUACUGGCAUAUGCAAUCAUGUAAUUGAGAAGGUGGGUGACAUUCUAUCUUCAGAAAUGUUGGCUUCAAGAAUAAAUUAAUUAAAACAAAAAAGAAACACCAUUUUCACUCCUCAGAUUAGCUAAGAUGAAAAAGAACCAUAAUGCUGGGUGUUGGCAGGGGAUCCAGGAAAUAAAUGCCUCAUGCUCUGCUGGUGGGAUUCUAAAUUAAUACAACUUUUUUUGCAAGGCCAUUGGCAAUAUGUAUCAAAAACCUUAAGAAUGGGUAUAGCCUUUCACUAAGCACUUUCACUUCUCAAAAUAUACCCCAAGCAAAUAAAGACAUGCCAAAGAUUAAUAUUUGAGAGUGAUCAUCACAUUAAGUAUAAUAGAAAAAAUUAAAACCAUCUAGAUAUCUUAAAAAAGAGAUUGAAUAAAAUGUGGAAUACCUAUAGUCUAGAAUACUAUACUGCUAUUAAAAUGAUGUAGUAGAAAUAUUUAUAAUGAAAAAAUGUUCUUGAUGCCUUUUAUGCUGAAAAAGUAUUAUAAAACACUAGGUUCAUUAUUGGUCAUUAAAAAAAUUACAUAUAAAACACAUUUAUACCCAUACUAAAAAAAGUCAAAGGACAAAUACCAACAUAGUAAUAAUGCGUGCCUCUGGAGAUAGGGAUUAUUAUCUGUGUUUUUUUUUCUUUAUGCUUAUCUGUAUUUUUUAAUCAAAUAAGUUAUUUAAAAGACUUAGAUAAGAUGGCAUUUUAAACUUAUCAAGAAAUUUCUUUCUGACCAAAAUUUGAUUUGGGAAAAUUCUUUACUGUGUCAUAAGUCAAAUUAUGCUUGUAUAAUUCAAUUCUUUUUAUUGUUCCAGGUCAUUUAAGUAUUCAGUAGAGUAGCUGUCCAGAUAGAUAAACCAUCUUAGACAAAUGAAG
rnacentral:lncRNA from 1 species